UAGCCAUGUCUCAAUACAUAGAGAGUCUAUCAAAUAAAGGAGCAACCUAGUCCACCAUAUAUCACACUUGCACAUCUUGAUCUAGGAGUAUGACACUUCUCUUCAAGGAUCCGAGCUUUGACUUCGCAAUAUAUGCAAAGUAAGUAUGCUAUCUCCUUUCAUCCCUACCUUGAACUCCACAUAAGCCUUUUAGAAAUAGGAUGAAAUAGAGAAGGCAACUCUUACCAUAUGCCUUGGUGAGGAAUCAUACACCAUUUGAGUGACAUGAGAGAACCAUAAGAGGAACAUUUAAGCUUUCUUUUGAAAAUAUCACAAAACCUCUGAUAUGAAACUUGCUAAGAAUGAGAAAGUUAGUGCUCAAGUCAAACUGUUCUGUCUCUCAACCACCUAAGACAAAGGAAAAGCCAUAAGCCCCAUAAGGGACUAAGGUAAUAGGGGUAAGUUUACAUAGCUAAAUUUUUCAUGCAAAGAGAAGAACCUUGUUGUACACAUGGUACUCUUGAAAUGUGAACAUAGUAACAAUACCUGAUCCACCG
rnacentral:lncRNA from 1 species